rnacentral:lncRNA from 1 species
GUGGCUGUGACUGCCCGCCCCCACAACGCCCUUCUCUGUCUCCGUUUUCUUCCCAGUGCUCUGAACUUUUGGGCAAAUGUGUCAAGUGUGAACACAGACAAAGCUUCACUUCAAAGCUCGUGUUCAGGGCCCUUAAAGUCAUAGUUAUUGCAAAACUGCGACCGUCUGGCGAACCUGCCUUAUGUAAGGGUGCUUGAACGUAUGAUUCACCAAACAUUUCUGCCGACAUCGCAAAGUUGUUGGAGCCAGAGUAGGAGAAAGACCACCCGUUUGAGAUCAUGGCUUGACAGGGAACACUCCCUCCUGCCACCAGAAUGGGUCCAAUCUAGACAUGUCUUCUCUGGCUUCCUUGUGCCUUGCCUUAUUUGGAGGGUUGGAAUAGUGGUCUGUCUUCGUGCGUGGUGAGAUAAUCAACACCAACAUCGAAGGAAGGAAGAUCUUUGCCACAGAGGAUCCUAGUUCCAGCUCCCAGAAUGACACUUUAACAGGAAAUCAUCUGAUUUUCUUUUUCUGGCAGUGAGACUAAUGGAAGUUUUCAUGUGAGUGUACAAAGAGAUGAUCUUGGAGUCUGGGAUACAGUCCAGGGAAGCAGCACGUCUGCCUGCACAUUAUGAUGCUUCCCACCAUGAUGACAAUGGACUAAAACCUCUGAAACUGUCCGGCUUGUUUGAUGUGGGAGCUAAGGCAGUCUAGACUGGUCUAACACAAAGCGAACACCCCAAGGGGGCCUGGACUAGAGAGGCUACCUGAACUGUGGCAUGCUUAAAGCAGUACCACAGAGAUGGGAGGCACCCAAGAGUCUUAGCCCCAUCAGGUGCUGCAAGAAACCUCUUCACUGAGCAGUUUAUAAACAAGUGUACUCCUCAGAGUCCGGAGGAAGGAGGUCUAAGAUGUAUCGGCCCCAACACCUCCUAGCUUGUGGAUUGAGCUCCUGUGGAGGAAGCUAACACAGCGGUAAAUAAAUGUGGACUGACAGAGGGCACAGGGCCAUUCGAGAGACUGUCAGAAACUGAGAAUCACCUCAGAACACGCUGAGGAGAGCUAAGGAGGUGAGGCCUGGGUUGCGGGAGGUUGGCACCUGACAGCAGUGGUUCCGACUGCUGGAAGGAGUGUUCUCUUCUGGGUUUGAUUGUCUACACUCAGGCUUCAGAGCCCUGGGCAUGAGAAAAAAAAGGGAGAAUGAAUAUGUUAGUAUUCCACGAAGGCACAGAAGCAGGUAUGUGGGAAUGGCUGUCGUUCCAUCUUCUGGGUAGUCGUGGCUGUCAGGUGGGAGGCCCAGGGAGAGCCAGUGUCCCGUCAGUCAAAACCAUGAUGGUGUGGCUUACAUUCUAUCUCAGAUAAAUUCUUUUUUGUUUGGGAGAGAAGCAUUCUCUAUUUCAGCUUCAGUUAAAUGGAUUACGAGGACCCACAUCAUAGAGGGAAGUCUGUCUUACUGAUUCUGAUUUUUUUCAAUUAAAAUGUUUUCUUU